UGGUUGAUAGCUCCGGUCUUGAAAACCGGUAUAGUUCUAGGAACUAUCGAGGGUUCGAAUCCCUCUCUCU
rnacentral:tRNA from 1 species